UGUGAGGAUAUGAGUUGGCCCGAAUUAGACCAACUAAUACCCGACCGGGACCAAAAACCCGAAUGCUAUAUAUAAGAACCGGAAACCGGCCCUUUGUACACACUUCGGGUGUCUGGUGUAAUGGGUCUGGGUGACCCAGGUAAUGGAGGAAGACCGAUAACCGAAUUAUAUAUUAUUUUAUGCGGUUCCAGACAUCAAAGCGGUUCCAGUGGAUUUUGAAUUGGACACUUCACCACAUUUGUGUGUUGCUUCAUCGGAUUUUGCAGGGAUGAUUUCACCCUUUUUACAUGGAUGCUUGAUGAAAAAAAAAAGAAGAUUUGGUAACUUACUCUUUCAGCUAAGCUAUGGCUAUCGGUGGCUUGCCCGUGACGAGCCCUCACAUGAAUAUAAUCAGAUUAUGCUCAUUGAUUGCGGUUACCUUAGAUAAUUCGUCAACCGACGAACUUGAGAAGCACUCGAAAGGAUUUCCGCAGCACAGUAAAUGAUCAUUUUCCUCAUAUGACCAUUUACACUGGGACUCAACAUUCAC